AGGGGUUUGGCACAGCAGUGGAGCGCAUGCUUAGCAGGCAUGAGGUCCUGGGUUCAAUCCCCAGUGCCUCUA
rnacentral:tRNA from 1 species